AUGUUAACUCAAGUUUAAAUACGUACAUUUUAAAAAUAGAUAAAAUAUUGCAAACAACUCUUAAAAAAUAAAGUAUGAAGUGUAGAGAGUUGGAAAGAAAUACAGCUUUCCUAGUUGUGAGGCAGGGGUCAGGCUGAGGUACAUUGAGUUUUCUGUGUCUUUUCUUUCCAAGUAUUGGGAGGGUGGGGUGGGUGAGGGGGCAGUUCUGGCUUGCGCCCUGGCUGGAGUCCCAGGUGGUAUCCAGGUGUGGCUGGUCUAGGCUCCACAGGGUCAGUCUGCAGGAAGGGCUGGGGAGGGCUGUCACGUAAGAUUAAGGAAAGAGACUAUGAGGUCACAAGUUGGUCCUCAACAAUGCCUCGGUUGUUGGAGGGCCGGGAGGGCAUGGUUUCGAGCACUGUAUUUCGUCUGUUAUUCAGAUUGCUCUCAGGAAAAUCUUCUUCCCCCACAAGUCCCGGCUGCCAUAGAUUUGUGCAUGAAGCCCGAACGAAUAAUCGGAAAGAUAAGUUUUGCUUCCAUGUCUGAGCUGCUGGGAACUGAGACAGUGCCUCUUUAGGAGAAUGUAACCGAGUAACACAAAAGGGAGACAAGACCCUCAUUUAAGACGAGAACAAGAUGCAGCUCCAAUUCAUCUGUGGUUCCAGAAACGCAAUACAAAUUUGGUGGAGUGAAGGCUGACAAAGACUCUCUCCUUGACCAAACGUCACACGGGCUCCUCCAAGCCCUCCUUCCGACAAGGCCUCAUCACGGAGCCCCAUCCUUGGCUUGUCUGGUCCACUGUAGUAAGAAUCCCUCCAUCCUCGAUGGCCCCUCUUGGUCAUUUUCCACCUACUGCUUCAUUUUCCCCUUCAUCCUGCUCCUUGGCUAUGACUUCCCACACAUAUUUGGACUUGAGCCCACUUCUACACUAGCGUCUCUUCUCCUCGAUUGCAAUAGUUACCGAAUAAAAUCUGUCUUCACCACUUUAGCUAGUGUCCAGCUCUGAAAUGCUCCGACAGGGCUCCAGGUGUAGCAGCUGUAGGAGAGGCAGAGCCUAGCGCCUGGAGCCCCGGCCAGCACCCACAGCCCGCUGGAGUCCCCAACACUAGGGGACAGUUGAGAGUACAGACAAGGCCAAGAGGCGAAGCAGGCAAACGUCACCAAAAGGGGCCAGCGUGGAACAAGAAAAGGAGCACGCACCCCUUCCACAUCUCAGAGGAGCCAGAAAACCGCCAGGGGAUGCCCAGUGGCACGGAUGGGAGAGAGGGGUCUACUCGAGAGGGAAGUGGAGCUCCUACAAUAGAAGAAAGAGUGAAGUCUUUGAAUCAGUGUAUAGCUCCUAACUUGCCUGCAAAACGUCCCAUUUUCAUCCUCAUGUGCCAAGUUCUAUGAAAUAGGCAUAAAGUAUUUAUGUAUAGGAAUAUAUGGAUCUGUCCAAACGGACAUGAAAUACACCUGGCCCCUUUCCCUUAGGCAGAGAGCACUAGUCACUCCCUGGUCUCUCAGAGUUUCUCUCUGGGUUUUUAUCUCCCUCUCCUGUUUGCCUGGUCCUAGUUCCGUUUUCAGUUAAGAGCCUUCAGAGAGAAACAAUCUGAUUGGCCCAUCUCGUCCCUGUGUGGGAAGAACUUUCCGCUGGCCAGUCCACAGACUGGCUGUCUUCGGGUCAGGUGCAUGAGGGUCAUCCAGCCAGCCAUGUUGGAGCCAGGGUCAAGUGGAGGAGAACGUGGCAGUCCGGAAGCUUUCAAGUCAGCCAGGCAUCUUUCUGGGUCAUGAAGAAACUCCCUUCCUUCUCCAUCACCGCUCCUCGCUUUCUGCACUGCUGACCAUCUCCCUGCCCUGCUUCAGGAUGCCCUCAACCUUUGGAUGGAAGGAGAGUUAACACGGGGAAGCCACGCAUGCGGGCUAAGGAGCGGCCACCGCACACUUCACCUGGGUGACCAGGGUAUCCUGAGACACACUCCUGUGCCCAGGGCAGCCGAGGUGCUUGAACUCGGCCGUGGAAACAAGGGUCAUGGGAAGCAGAGGCUGCCAGGCCCUUGCGGUCCUGUCAUAGCACUUGUCCCCAGGUGGUCCCAGCACCUCUCCCUGACAGGACCGCAGGACCACAGUACUCGUUGUUGUUCCACACUAAGUAGCCGGGAUGUGAACAUCAGUGUCCACGCGGGACUGUGCGCUCCUCGAUCCAAAGGAGCCCAACACACACAGUCGUAGGAAAUUGCUACAUUGCCCCUGUGGCUUAGUGACUACCUUAAUUUAGGAGACAAAGAAAAGGCAGUUCAAAAUGUAAAUCUUGAUGAUGGUGUAGAAGGCGUUCCUUGAGGAAUCCUUGCCGGUUUCCUCACACUGGAACUCCUGGCCCGAGUGGGUGAGUGGUGAAGGGGAAAGAAUGGGUUCAAAACUUGCUUUGCCUCUGUGCCGGUUUCUGCCACUUGGAGGGUCUAUUUUUCAUCAUUAAAAACUCUGAGGCAGAGACGGGAUGGAUACUGGUUUGAGCUAAGAAGACUUAAGGUCUAGUUUCCACUAGAUCUCUUACUUGCCGUGUGACCUUGGCUGUGCCAUGUAUCCCCUCCGAGCCUGUUUCACACUCCCACAGAAUGGGGUGCCGACAGCCCCACUGCCUGCCCCCCAGCACUGCUGUGAACACUAAUUUGGGUGGCGGGUGCUAAGGACGCCAUGCACACAGUAGGUCCCAUGUGCGUGAUACCAAUCUCGUUGUUCCGCUGACUAAGCACUUGAAAUAGACUUAUUUAUAUCCCUCGCAUCCUUAUCUCACCACACUAAUACACUGAUGAUUUAAAAAAAAAAAAAACAAGUUCCAUUUCUGCAAAAAACAACACACAAAGAAAAAUACUAUUUCUGAGCUGACACCAUCCUAGGUCUGUUGAGAGAUGUGAUUUGUACAUUUUAACAAUAUUCCCAGGAGCAAAAUGUGUGAGAUGGUCGUUUCUAACUUCUACCUUUUACUUCUUUUUUUAUUCCCCACUUAGUGAAAUUCUAACUCUUAUAAAACAUGUAACACAAUGGAUAACUCGGACAGUGUGGCACAGACUUUUAGAAGUAUGUAACAGAUUAUAGUAGAAAGAGGGGAGACGUACUUGACCUAUUGAUGCAGGAAAGCAUAAUAUUAUUGAAAACCAAAUCCUACCAGACAAAUGGUUUACCCUAGGAAUGAACAAUGAUUAAACAUCUGGAAAUCUAGUCAUGUAAUUCAGUACACUAACAGAGUCAGAAAUUCAACCAGAUGACUGUCGCAAUACAGGUUAGAAAAACUCUUGGUAAGAUUCAACCUCAAUUCAUGAUUUAAAGAAAAAAAGACGAAGAAUUCUAAAAAUGGCAUUGUAUCAGAAGCAUAUUCACUGAAAUCAGAAGCAAGGCAGGCAUACUUGCUUAUCAUUACCUCACCACUAAGAACUCAACCACGUAUCGAAGGUCUCGAAUCAGGCGCCUACCCAAGAAAACAAAGGAGGUAUGAAUAUUAGAAAGGAAUACCCAGUAAAUUAGGAAAAUCACCUAAAAAGAAUUAUUAAGGCAAAUAAGGCAACAGGUUGGGUCAGCCACAAGGUGAUCAUAGAAAAAAAUACCUUUUCUACUCACAACUAACCAAUUAGAAAAACUAUUCACAAUGUGUGUGUGUGUGUCCAAUAUCCAGUAAUAAACCUACUGACAGAAGUGAAACAAAAAUGUAAAGAAAGCCACAGUACAUAAAGGAAGACAUAAACAGGUAAAAUGCCAGAAAGCAAAUGGUGAGACUCAAUAUCACUCAGUGAAAUGAAUGCGAUUCCUAUCAAAAUCAAAAGAUUUUCUUACAGAACUUAUCAACUGAGUCUGCAGCCCAUCAAAACUAAAAAAAAAAAAAAAAAAAAAAAAAAAAAAAUCGGUAAGAUCAACAAAAUUUUGAAAAAGACUAAUAAUGAGAGGAAACAUCUUGUCCAGAUGUCAAAACAUAUUUUAAAGCUAUAAGACAUUUCUUAUAAACUCUGAAAUGUAGCGACUCAAUAACUAGCAGGCUACUGAGAGAGAAGAGAAAACCAAAUAAAAGAAAAAGGCAAAAAUCAGAAUGCAGUUUAUGCUAACGGUAGCAUAUUAUCUCAGUCGGAAAAGAACAGACUUUAUUUAAUGAUGCCAAAUCAACUGACAUUUAUUGAAGAAAAAAAUAGAUUUGUACCUUGUAUGAUACAUGGAAAUAAAUGCUACAGAAAAUAGAGACAAAACUGAGGAGAAAAAUUAAACAAGUAUUAGAAGACCACACCAGAGAAUUCUUUUAAUAUUAGGAUAAAGCAGGCCUUCUUAAAUAAGAUAGAAAUCCACAAAUAGAAGUGAUUGAAGGAUGUGACUGUAAGAACUGUAAAGCUUUUAUUCAACAAAGCACAGAGGUAUUACGUACAUAAAACUUAUACAUUAGUUCGAGGUUUUCCUUGACUGCCACUACUGCACCAUUAAUUUUUAUUUCAGAAAAUAUAUCUGUUGGAUUUAUAAUAUGGCUUUCGCAAGAUUCGCAUCCAUUUGGCUAAUGCCUUUCCUAUCAGUCCUCAAUUCCAGACCCUUUGCUCAGAGAAGAUGGAUAAAAAUUAACCAGGGUCAGAAAGGAAACUACUCAACUCUUACUUCGUUUCCAUUUUCUCAUAUAGGGAAACGGGCUUGAAACUGUGAAACUGAAGACUAAUUUGGAAGGAAAAAAUAGUAGGAGAGCAUGUGGCCAUGUUAACUGGGUCCCAGUGUCCCAGGGCAGAUGGGUCCUAACCCCCCAGGGAGUCACAUCUACAAAUGUGACUGGUGGGGGCACCACCGUCCAUGGUCUGGGAGCAGAGCAGAGACAGCUGAAGAUGAAAAGUUGUACUGGUCUGGGGCACCUGGGUGGUGCCACUGGUUGAGCAUCCAACUUCCUUGGGUCAUGAUCUCACGAUGCGAUUUGGGAGAUCAAGCCCCGUGUCAGCCCCGUCUCAAGCCCUGUGCCGUCAGCACAGGGACUGUUUGGGAUUCUCUCCCUCUUGCUCUCUCUCUGUCCCACCCCCACUCAUGCCCUCUCUCUUUCUCUCUCUCAAAAUAAACAAAUAAACAUUUAAAAAAAAAAAAAACCCACCUGGUACUAUUCCUAGGAAUUUGCAAACCAGUGCCUCUCAGGGACAGGGCACCUACCUCUGGUCCCUUCUCAGGUUUUCUCCAACUCAGAGCCGUCCCUCCACAGGGUCCAGCUGGGCAAGCAACACAGCCCAGACAGAAAAUGAAACAUCGGGAGACACUGAACAAAGGAUGAGUCAAGGGCAAGUGGAAUGGCUUCUUUUUUUUAAGUGGUAUAAUAUUUGUUUCAUUUCCACACGCUACAUAAAGCCCUUCACUUUUCAUUUUAUUGUUUUUGAAUCUCUUCGUACCAAUACCAUGCAACAGCCAAAGUGAGAAAUUUUCUGUCGUUUUUCAAAAUUUAAUAUCAAAUUUGUUUGUUUUGUACAAAUUCCCAACUCCUCUGCCUUAAUGUAUUAAGUAACACAAAUGUCAUGUUCUACCAAUUAGUAAACAGGCUUACUAAAAUAGAAAGCUCUCUGUAUUAACCUUAUACAUUUCCUGCAGGCCAGAAAAAAAUAAGUAGCAGAACCCAAAUGCUUCUAAAUCCACAAGUCAGUGUGAUGCUAAUUAACUGAACUGAGAAGCAUGGAAUAUUCCAGGUGAAGAGUUCUGUUUAAGAUGCUAGAUUGGCUACACUAUGUGUAUAGAUGGCACUCAUAAAAAUUGGACGGUUAGAGCAUGCUGUAUAUUUUUAGCUCUGAAAUGGGAUCAUGCAGUUCUAGAUUCAAUUAGAAAGGGCACAGAAAAUACAGACUAAGAGACUGGACUUUUAAUUUUUUUUUUUAGAGAGAGAAAGCAUGAGCAGGGAGAGAGAGAAAGCAGAGGGGGGAGAGGAGAGAGGGAGGGAGGGAUGGAGGGAUGGGGGAGACAGAGAGAGAGAGAAAGAGAGAGAAGGAGGGGGAGAGAGAGAGAGAGAGAGAGAGAGAGAGAAAAUCUUAAGUAGGCUCCAUAACCAGCAUGGAGCCGGACCUGCUAUUUAAUAAAAGAGCAAACAGCACUGGUCCGGAGGGAAGGCUGGCCAUAUACGCAACUCCCUGGCACAGUAGUCCAAGAGGCUCCAGCAGGAACUCAUUAACACCCAUAACUGUGGGGGCAGUUGGGAACCUAUCUGACCCCCCACCAGGGUUUCUAGAAGCAUCCAGGCAGGGAGGACCCCUGGGUGGGAAACCCUCUGGAGUGAGUGCUCCCCGUCUACCCUCAAAUGCGGAUGUCCCCACCAUUUGCAGAGCAAGGCAUCGUCCCAGCCACCUCUGGGUUGUCAAACAAGAAUGAAAAAGAAACUUGCUGGCGCAAAGCUGAAGCUCCUCACCACCAAUGCUACCUACAGC